AGUAUUCAUAAUUAAAUAUUCCCUAACAUCAAAAACAAAAAUAUUAUAAGCCGACUAUUAUAUCAUAAAUCAAUAAUUUUUUAUUAAUUUAAAACAAAAACAAUAAUAUAACUCAUCUUAAUUAAAACAUUUAAAAAAUAAUAAUAUUUUUCUGAUUGUUGUUUCGAUUGUCAACUGGGAGGUGCUCGUCAAUUAAUUGUCCCAAAGCCUUGCCCUAGCUUCAAUUCAAGUGCUCAUCUUUUCUGAACUGCUUCCAAUACAUUUGAUUUUGUGAUUUCUUGUUCCAUCUUGAUUAUAGCUUUGAUUUCUGUUCGUUUCUCUCUUUUCCAGUUUGUUCUUUCAGAGCUUUGGCUUCCUGCUAUUGAGAGGGUGGUUGGCUGGGUUCCUUGUUGGUGACAUUAGCUUUCACCAGAAACCUCAUCUUCCCACAGGUCUGCACAUUCUUUUUUCCCUGCUUUCCCCCCUGGCUUCUUUGAUGUUUUCCUUUCGAUGGUGCUCAAUUUCUCUUGGUUGCUUCUUUAAAUCAUGUAUGUCUUGCAAGAACUUGGACUGCCUCUUUUGCUUUCCCGAUGAAGAUUUCUGGGACUGCUAUUCUGGUUGACUGUGUGUGGAGGUGCCCUUGGAUUUGUUUUCUUUGUUGUUUUCUAGAGUUGUGUCUGGGUUCAAUGAGAAUUGUUUUGGUUGAUUGUCUAGGUAGCUUUCACACUAGGUGUUUGAUCGAAUUUUUGAGAGAAAUGGGCCUUUGUGUUUUCAGGCGUGCACUGCUCACACGCUUUGCUAGCCUUUUUGACAUCCAUAGUUAAAAUGCUCACAUUGCUUUUUGAGGACUAGCACAUAAGGCGCAUCCAAUAACCUGAUAAUUUUGAUGAGUAUGUGCAGCAAAUUGAGGACAUGGAGGAACAAGUUACUGAAUUUGAAGCUGUUAUUUCAGUUCUUGACAGGUAUGUUUCUCAAUGAAUACAUGCCAAAGACUUGGUCUUGCCGUCUGGAAGUGAACGAAAAGAAAUACCCUUAGCACUUGGAGAUGGUCAAUGAAUAUAUUUGGCUCUUCGAAAUGAUUUUUUACUAUUAAAAUGCACAGAAGAAAAAAAAACCGUAUUCACACUACGGAAAAGCUAUUUUUAUCGAUUUGGCUCUUCAAAAUAGCAUCUUCCCUGGAGAUGUUCUAAUACUAUUUUUUUUUGUUGAGAUGCUAAAAUUUGAUGCAUGAAAAUUGAUUUAAAAAGUACAAUCGAACUGCAAAAUGAGAAAAAAAUUGCUUAUCAUCUCUGUUGCAGCCAUGAUGGUUGCCUUAAUUUUGCGCUGCUUUGAGAAUUGUGAUGGAUGGAAGAUUGGGAGCUGUCAUUCCUGUUUCCUUGCUUGCUGGAAUUCCUGCAACCCUUUUUAUAUUGCUGCAAUUUCCUCUCCUUGUUGAGAUUUUCAUAUCCACAUAUGGACCAGGUAUCUUCAACAGGAAAAUGAAGCUUUGGUACUGAACAUAUUUGUUUUUCAAUGCAGGGGACGUUCUCUCCGUUUCGUGUACUUGAGCCAAAAUUCUUGAACGAUCAGCUAGAAUUUAACUUUAUGGACCUCAUGUGAUCGCUCUUCAUAUGGUUUUGCUCACGAAAAGUAUUAUUACUUUGUGAUUCUUCCUUUUUAAUGCAUCUUAAACUCAAGGAAACGUAACUCAUAUGAGAAAUAUUCCUUGAUUGACAAUUUUAUUCUUCACAACAUAAAAGACUUGACAAUUUGAGAAAACAUAGAACAAGGCACUAUAAAAAGGACAAAAGUUUGAAUAAUUUAGCAUUCGAGUUUCACUUGCCAACACUGUAACACGUAAAUGAUGCGAAAAGGCAGAGCUUCUUCUUUCUUUCCACUAAUCUUCAAACACAUGAUUCACGAUUUAGCUUUUUAG
rnacentral:lncRNA from 1 species